UACGUAGGGUGCGAGCGUUGUCCGGAAUUAUUGGGCGUAAAGAGCUCGUAGGCGGUGUGUCGCGUCGAUCGUGAAAACUUGGGGCUUAACCCUGAGCUUGCGGUCGAUACGGGCAGGCUGGAGUUCGGUAGGGGAGACUGGAAUUCCUGGUGUAGCGGUGAAAUGCGCAGAUAUCAGGAGGAACACCGAUGGCGAAGGCAGGUCUCUGGGCCACUACUGACGCUGAGAAGCGAAAGCAUGGGGAGCGAACAGG
rnacentral:rRNA from 1 species